UCUUCAAGACAGUGUGCCUUCUACUCCUAAACAUCGAUUUAUCGAGGUUUGCCCGGACCGGACUUGAAAUGACUAAGAUGCAAGACGCUGCUGAGGUAUUCUCGUGGCUGUCUACGGUUUUCUUUGUGUGUGUUCUGCUGCUUGUGUCAAAGGGGUUCUCUAUCACCAGAGCUCAGAUAAGCCUUCCUGGAA